rnacentral:rRNA from 1 species
UACGGAGGAUGCGAGCGUUAUCCGGAUUUAUUGGGUUUAAAGGGUGCGUAGGCGGACGCUUAAGUCAGCGGUAAAAUUGCGGGACUCAACCUCGUCGAGCCGUUGAAACUGGGUGUCUUGAGUGGGCGAGAAGUACGCGGAAUGCGUGGUGUAGCGGUGAAAUGCAUAGAUAUCACGCAGAACUCCGAUUGCGAAGGCAGCGUACCGGCGCCCAACUGACGCUGAAGCACGAAGGCGUGGGUAUCGAACAGG